rnacentral:misc_RNA from 1 species
GAUGAAGACGUAGCGAAAUGCGAUAAGUAAUGCGAAUUGCAGAAUUUCCGUGAGUCAUCGAAUCUUUGAACGCACAUUGCGCCCACUGGUAUUCCGGUGGGCAUGCCUGUUCGAGCGUCAUUAUCCUCCCUCAAACCCCGGGUUUGGUGUUGGACCCAAGUUGUGUGAACAACUGGUCUCAAAGACAAUGACGGCGUCCGUGGGACCCUCGGUGCAACGAGCUUUUAGGAGCACGCAUCGAGUUGCAAGGACCUUCCGGGCCGGUCUCCUUUACCAUUUUACAAGGUUGACCUCGGAUCAGGUAGGAAUACCCGCUGAACUUAAGCAUAUCAAUAAGCGGAGGA